UUGGGAUGGGGGUUGGGAUGACAUGUCCUUUGGGAUCCUGGUUCUGCACCAAAGUAGUGUUGGGAUAGGUGGGAAUGGUGUUGGGACACACCGGAAUAACAUUAUUGUACGUGGGAAUGAUGUUAUGAGGCACCAGAGUAAUGUUGGGAUGUGUGGGAAUAGUGUUGGGAUACACAGGAACAGUUUUAUGAUACAUGGGAAUAAUGUUGGGAUACAUGGGAAUAAUGUUGGGAUACAUGGGAAUAAUUAUAUGAUUUAUGGGAAUAACGUUAUUAUACAUGGGAACAAUGUUAUGAGACACCAGAGUAAUGUUGGGAUGUGUGGGAAUAGUGUUGGGAUACAGGAAUAAUGUUGGGAUACAUGGGAAUAACCUUAUGAUAUAUGGGAAUAAUGUUAUUAUACAUGGGAAUAAUGUUAUGAGGCACCAGAGCAAUGUUGGGUUGUGUGGGAAUAAUGUUGGGAUACACAGGAACAGUUUUAUGAUACAUGGGAAUAAUGUUGGGAUACAUGGGAAUAAUGUUGGGAUACAUGGGAAUAAUUAUAUGAUAUAUGGGAAUAAUGUUAUUAUACAUAAUAAUAAUGUUAUGAGACACCAGAGUAAAGUUGGGAUAUAGGAAUAAUGUUGGGAUACAUGGGAAUAAUGUUGGGAUACAUGGGAAUAAUGUUAUGAUAUAUGGGAAUAAUGUUAUUAUACAUGGGAACAAUGUUGUGAGACACCAGAAUAAUGUUAGGAUGUGUGGGAAUAAUGUUGGGAUACACGGGAAUACUGUUGGGGGAUACAUGGGAAUAAUGAUACGAUAUGUGGGAAUAAUGUUAUAAAACAGGAGCGAUGUUGGGCUACAUGGGAAUAAUGUUGGGAUACAUAGAAAUAAUGUUAUUAUACAUGGGAAUAAUGUUAUGAGACACCAGAGCAAUGUUGGGAUGUGUGGGAAUAAUGUUGGGAUACAUGGGAAUAACAAUCUGAUAUAUGGGAAUAACAUUAUUAAACGUGGGAAUAAUGCUGCCA